GGUGCUUGCACCGAUCAAUCGAGUGGCGGACGGGUGAGUAACGCGUGGGUAACCUGCCUCAUACAGGGGGAUAACAACUGGAAACGGUUGAUAAUACCGCAUAAGCGCACGGUGUCGCAUGAUACAGUGUGAAAAACUCCGGUGGUAUGAGAUGGACCCGCGUCUGAUUAGCUAGUUGGCGGGGUAACGGCCCACCAAGGCGACGAUCAGUAGCCGGCCUGAGAGGGUGAACGGCCACAUUGGGACUGAGACACGGCCCAAACUCCUACGGGAGGCAGCAGUGGGGAAUAUUGCACAAUGGGGGAAACCCUGAUGCAGCGACGCCGCGUGAGCGAAGAAGUAUUUCGGUAUGUAAAGCUCUAUCAGCAGGGAAGAAAAUGACGGUACCUGACUAAGAAGCCCCGGCUAACUACGUGCCAGCAGCCGCGGUAAUACGUAGGGGGCAAGCGUUAUCCGGAUUUACUGGGUGUAAAGGGGGCGCAGGCGGUUUGGCAAGUCUGAAGUGAAAGCCCGUGGCUCAACUGCGGGACUGCUUUGGAAACUGUCAAACUAGAGUAUCGGAGAGGCAAGUGGAAUUCCUGGUGUAGCGGUGAAAUGCGUAGAUAUCAGGAGGAACACCGGUGGCGAAGGCGGCUUGCUGGACGAUAACUGACGCUGAGGCCCGAAAGCGUGGGGAGCAAACAGG
rnacentral:rRNA from 1 species